rnacentral:rRNA from 1 species
GAUGAACGCUGGCGGCGUGCCUAAUACAUGCAAGUCGAGCGAACAGACGAGGAGCUUGCUCCUCUGACGUUAGCGGCGGACGGGUGAGUAACACGUGGAUAACCUACCUAUAAGACUGGGAUAACUUCGGGAAACCGGAGCUAAUACCGGAUAAUAUAUUGAACCGCAUGGUUCAAUAGUGAAAGACGGUUUUGCUGUCACUUAUAGAUGGAUCCGCGCCGCAUUAGCUAGUUGGUAAGGUAACGGCUUACCAAGGCAACGAUGCGUAGCCGACCUGAGAGGUGAAUCGGCAAAACGGGAACGAGGACACGGUCCGAAUUCCAAGGGGAGGCACCAUAAGGGAUUCUUCGGCAAGGGGCGAAGGCCGGAGGGGGAAACGCGGGGGAAGGAAUAAAGUCCUUCGGAUCGAAAAACUUGUUUAUAGGGAAAAAACAAAGGGGAAGGAAACAAUGCAGGUCUGGAGGGAACCUAAUAAAAAAGCAAGGGCAAACAACGG